rnacentral:rRNA from 1 species
AGAGUUUGAUCCUGGCUCAGGACGAACGCUGGCGGCGUGCCUAAUACAUGCAAGUCGAGCGGAUCAUCUUGAGGAGCUUGCUCCGAUAGAUGGUUAGCGGCGGACGGGUGAGUAACACGUAGGCAACCUGCCCAUAAGACUGGGAUAACAUUCGGAAACGGAUGCUAAGACCGGAUACGCAAGCUUGUCGCAUGACAGGC